rnacentral:rRNA from 1 species
AGAGUUUGAUCCUGGCUCAGAACGAACGCUGGCGGCAGGCCUAACACAUGCAAGUCGAGCGAGACCUUCGGGUCUAGCGGCGGACGGGUUAGUAACGCGUGGGAACGUGCCCUUCUCUGCGGAAUAGCCACUGGAAACGGUGAGUAAUACCGCAUACGCCCUUCGGGGGAAAGAUUUAUCGGAGAAGGAUCGGCCCGCGUUAGAUUAGAUAGUUGGUGGGGUAACGGCCUACCAAGUCUACGAUCUAUAGCUGGUUUUAGAGGAUGAUCAGCAACACUGGGGCUGAGACACGGCCCAGACUCCUACGGGAGGCAGCAGUGGGGAAUCUUAGACAAUGGGCGCAAGCCUGAUCUAGCCAUGCCGCGUGUGUGAUGAAGGUCUUAGGAUCGUAAAGCACUUUCGCCAGGGAUGAUAAUGACAGUACCUGGUAAAGAAACCCCGGCUAACUCCGUGCCAGCAGCCGCGGUAAUACGGAGGGGGUUAGCGUUGUUCGGAAUUACUGGGCGUAAAGCGCGCGUAGGCGGAUUGGAAAGUUGGGGGUGAAAUCCCGGGGCUCAACCCCGGAACUGCCUCCNAAACUAUCAGUCUAGAGUUCGAGAGAGGUGAGUGGAAUUCCAAGUGUAGAGGUGAAAUUCGUAGAUAUUUGGAGGAACACCAGUGGCNAAAGGCGGCUCACUGGCUCGAUACUGACGCUGAGGUGCGAAAGUGUGGGGAGCAAAAGGAUUAGAUACCCUGGNAGUCCACACCGUAAACGAUGAAUGCCAGUCGUCNGGGCAGUAUACUGUNCGGUGACACACCUAACGGAUUAAGCAUUCCCGCCUGGGGGAGUACGG